UGCGUAGGCGGCGGGGAAAGUCAGAUGUGAAAUCCGGAGGCUCAACCUCCGAAUUGCAUCCGAUACUCCCUCGCUAGAGAUUUGUAGAGGAGCUUGGAAUUCUCGGUGUAGCAGUGAAAUGCGUAGAUAUCGAGAAGAACGCUCGCAGCGAAGGCGAAGCUCUGGGCAAAUUCUGACGCUGAUGCACGAAGGCGUAGGGGAGCGAAACG
rnacentral:rRNA from 1 species